rnacentral:rRNA from 1 species
AAACGGGUUAGUAACACGUAGGCAAUCUGCCCUAAAGUUAGGCAUAGCCCGGAGAAAUCCGGGGUAAUUCCUAAUGGUCUGAAAACUUCUACAAGUGGUUUUCAGUAAAGCUUUUGCGCUUUAGGAGGGGCCUGCGUCCUAUCAGCUUGUUGGUAAGGUAACGGCUUACCAAGGCUAUGACGGGUAGGGGGCGUGAGAGCGUGACCCCCAACAUUGGGACUGAGACACGGCCCAAACUCC